rnacentral:sRNA from 1 species
AUUUGAAGUUUUCGAAGAAAAUAAACGAGGUUUGCUUCCUUCUCUCUGAUCUUGAUAUUUCUAUU